rnacentral:rRNA from 1 species
AGGACGAACGCUGGCGGCGUGCCUAACACAUGCAAGUCGAGCGGGUCAGUAAGAGGAAGUUUCGGAUGGAAUCUUGUUGAUUUAGCGGCGGACGGGUGAGUAAUGCGUGAGCGACCAACCUUGCACAGGGGGAUAACGGACCGAAAGGUUCACUAAUACCGCAUGAGACCACGGUGUUGCAUGACACAGAGGUCAAAGGAGCAAUCCGGUGCAAGACGGGCUCGCGUCCGAUUAGGUAGUUGGAGGGUAACGGCCCACCAAGCCUAUGAUCGGUAGCCGACCUGAGAGGGUGAUCGGCCACAUUGGAACUGAGAUACGGUCCAAACUCCUACGGGAGGCAGCAGUGGGGAAUAUUGGGCAAAAUGGGGGAAACCCUGACCUAGCAACGCCGCGUGAAGGAAGAAGGUUUUCGGAUUGUAAACUUCUGUCCUUGGUGAAGAGAAGAAGACGGUAGCCAAGGAGGAAGCCCCGGCUAACUACGUGCCAGCAGCCGC